rnacentral:rRNA from 1 species
UACAGAGGUCCCAAGCGUUGUUCGGAAUUACUGGGCGUAAAGCGUGCGUAGGUGGUUCGUUAAGUCUGAUGUGAAAGCCCUGGGCUCAACCUGGGAAUGGCAUUGGAUACUGGCGAUCUAGAGUGCGGUAGAGGGCAGUGGAAUUCCCGGUGUAGCAGUGAAAUGCGUAGAGAUCGGGAGGAACAUCUGUGGCGAAGGCGGCUCUCUGGGACGGUACUGACGCUGAGACGCGAAAGCGUGGGGAGCGAACAGG